GGGAGUCUCUCUAUGUUUCCCAGGCUGGUCUCAAAAUUUCCAGCUUCAACUUCCUGAUCCUCCUGCCUCAGCCUCCCAAGUAACUGGGAUUACAGGUGUGAGACACCAAACCUGGAGGCCGUCACUGUCUUACUGUUCCAACCAAGUGGCAAAUUGGAAAACUAUUCGGGUGGCAUAUUCAAUUUGCUGCAGAAAUCUACCCUCAAAUUAUCUGUAUCUCACCUAUGUUAGGAAGAAUUUUAAUACAAUAGUAUUGAUUAUCUUUAAAUUUUAAUGUAUUACAGGCAUAUAGUAUGGGGAUUAACUUUAUAGACCUAGCUAAUUGUUUCCUCUUGCUCUGUCCUCCUUUAUGCUCCAUGCUUCUUCAGCUUCUUUUUCCUUGACCCUUUUCUGUCUUACUUUGUCUAUUCCAACCUUUUGCCUUAACAUCUCAAUGUGAAUCAAAUAUACAAAAAAAUCAUGUGCCUAAUACUAUUACCUUGCUUCAACAGAUUAUUUGCUACUUUAUAAAACCAAGCAAAUUGUUUGUCUCACAGUGUAAAGGCAGACUUACCUUCUACUCUUUUUUUAUGAAGUGGGGGUCGUCCUUUCUUAUUCCUUACUGAUGAAGUUUUGCUGCUACUACUUCCACUGUUCACAGACAUUCUAUCAUCUUCACCCCCAGUGACUAAUGAAUUUCUAUAGGAGAUGAGUGGAAGCCAUACAUCUUCCCUCCUUUCCAUCAUCUGCUCGGUUCUGAAGAAUAGCUAAGGACACAUAAUUAAACUGUUAACAAUGGUCACCUUUGGAAAGAGAGGGACUGAGAAGUUAAAGUUUUGCUUCACAAAUUCCUGGGAUACUUAAAAGCAAGAGAAUGUAUUACCUAACGGGUGUUGACAACAGAGAUCUUGGGAGUGCAAAUGAGAGGGUGCUGGUAGUUCUUUGACCCUAGCGGCAACAAAUGAUAGAGCAAAGCAGCCGGAAGUUCAACAGAGAAAACCAGAGAAAGAGACAGCCAAGAAGAACCUUCCUGGAGUCACAGUCAAUCCUGGGAGUUGGACAUGUUAACUAACUGACUGUAGUAAUCAUUUUACAACAUAUAUGUGUAUUGAAACAGCAUAUAUACACCUUAAAUAUAUAUUAUUUUUUAAAAGGAUGGAAAAAAGCUUAAAAAACAAAGUGAUUCUUCAUUUCAAUAGCUCCCUUUGAUUCAUCUGAAUACAGCCUACCAAAUCCUCCACUGUGCAUAUGUAUCUAUAUCUAUAUCUAUAUAUCAGCACUGAAAGAAUGCUUUAUCACCAGUCUUUGAUGGUUAUUAAUAGGUUGCUGAGCUAACUUGGCAUUUCAUAUGUUUCUUCUUAUAUGAAAUAAAGAUAACAUUUUAUUGUUAUUGAUCUGCUUAAGUAAUUGCUACGCUUAAAGUUUAUUUUGUUUAUAGGUUUCAAAUUUUGUGAACUUACCUGUUUAUCCAUUAAGCAUAUUUGGAACAGGUUAAA